AAUGUUUAAUCUGAUUUUUUUCUUAUCUUAAUUAUUUUAACUUAGUUGUUUACUUUGUUAGGUGAUUUUGAUUUUGUAAUUAAAGGGUUGAUUAUGGAUUGCUAAACCAGUUAAUAAUUUUAGGAAGUUUUAAACUUAAGUGAAUUACCCAAAAAGGGGGAUUUUUACCACAUAGUGGUGCUAAUUCUUUUAAUAUUCUCUUUCCUAAUGGUAAACCAUUAAAUAAUAUUAAGUACUUUAAAUAAGGAAAUUUAUUAUAUUUUAAACGAGAGGAACUGAAUCAUCUUAGUACUCUUAGGAAUAAAAAAUUUAUAUGAUUUUAGUAGUAGUGGCGAACGAAUCUUUAAUAGUCUAUUCUUAUCUUAUUUAUUAAUUUUAUUUAUUAGAAUGGAUAAGUAAUUAAGUAGAGCGGAUUUUUAAUCUGUUUGAAUAUGGGAGAACCAAUCUCCUAAGACUUAAUAUAUUAACUGAGUGAUAGUGAAUAGUACCGUGAGGGAAAGCAUUGAAAUAGUCAACUUAUAAGCAAAGAUCGGGAAUAUAUUUAUUUCUUAUCUUGUACCUUUUGCAUAAUGGGUCAGCAAGUUAUAAUUAUUUGCAAGCUUAUAGCUAUAUAAGUAAAUAGUUAUAGACCCGAAACUAGACGAUCUUACCAUGAACAGAUUUUUUGGAUCGAACCAGUCAUCGUUGUAAAGAUGUUGGAUGAUUUGUGGUAAGGAGUGAAAGGCUAAUCUUGUUUAGUGAUAGCUGGUAGUCCACGAAAUAGCUUUUAGGCUAGCUCUCUUUUUUAUUUUUUAUAGUGUACAGUAAUUAAUUACCUUAGAUCAUUGAUCUUUAAUGGGGGGCAUUAAGCUUACUCAAGGUCAAAGUUAAACUCGGAAAUUAUACAAAUUUAAAGAGAAGUCAGACUUUUGGUGAUAAGGUCCAAAGUCGAAAGAGAAACAGCUCUGAACAAAUGUUAAAGUUCCUAAAUCCAACUUAAGUGAACAUAAGAUUGUUUAUUUCCUAAUACAAUAAGAACAUGGGCUUGGAAACAGCCAUUGUCUAAGGAGUACGUAAUAGUUCACUUAUCUUUAAAGUAUAUUUAUACUAUAGGGAAAUAAGUGUCGAAAAUUCAACGGAUCUUUGAAAUUAAUUUUCUAAAAAGUUGGUACUUAAACUUUGUAAUUUAAUCUCAUUAACUAAUGAUUGAAUUGGUAGUGGACCAUUCUAUAAAAAGAUGAAGAUAGGUUUUUUAAUCUAUUGGAUUUAUUAGAAGAGAUAAUGCUGACAUAAGUAACGUAAAAAAAAGGUAAAAAUCCUUUUCACUGAAAACUCAAGGGUUUUGAUUCAAGGCUUAACCGAAUCAAUUAAAGUCAAUCUCUAAGUUUUAUGAUGAGUAAAACUUGAUCAAAUUAUCAUAACUUUUUUUAUGAUUAAAAUUUAAGUUAUCAAGAAAUAAAUUUGGUUACUAAAUUGUACCCUAAACCGACACUGGUGAGUUUAGCGAAUAGCUUAAAGUGAUGAGAUAACUAUGAUUAAGGAACUCGGCAAACUAGCUCUGUUACUUCGGUAGAAAGAGUGUUCAAAAAAAUGAACUCAAUAAAGAGAAGCCUACAACUGUUUACUUAAAACACAGCACAUUGCUAAGUUAAAUUAAUAACAUCGUAUAAUGUGUGAGUUCUGCUCAAUGUCCUAUGGUUAACUUUUAAGACUUUAACGAGUUCAAGGGAACCCAGGAUAAAUAGCGGCUUUAACUCUGAGGGUCCUAAGGUAGCGAAAUUCCUUGUCCGCUAAAUACGGUCCUGCAUGAAUGAAUUAAUGAUAGGCUUGCUGUCUCAAUCAUAGACUCAGUGAAAUUGUAGUUGCUGUGAAGAUACAGUGUAUUCCCAGCUAGACGGAAAGACCCUGGCAGCUUUACGAUAUUCAAUAAUUGACCAUUAUAUUUAUAUAAUAUUAUUCUACCUUUGUUCAGCAUAGAGGUUAGUUGAUACAACAAAAAUGAGAUAUCCUCCUAAGGAGAAUAAGGUCUCAAAUCUCUUAAAAAGAUGACAUUUAUUGAGUGGUCGUUUCUGUGGGGCGCAGGCCUCAUAAAAAAUAACUGAGGCAUCCGAAAGAUCUACACAAAAUUGUAUGGAAAACAAUAUUCUGUGCGGAAUCCCCGCUUAUCGGGGCUUCUGUUAAACUAAUAAAAAGAAUGAAACGCAUAUAAGCAAAAGUAGGUUAAACUGAAAGACCAACAAGUCGGACAGAUACGUAAGUAGGGUUAAGUGAUCCACAUUUAUAGAAUGGAAAUAAAUGUGCUCAAUGAGCGAAGUUACGCCAGGGAUAACAGAUUAAUAGAGAGCUAAAGUUCGCAUCAAAUUCUCUGUUUGAUACCUCGAUGUCGACUCAGCCCAUCCUCCAGUUGAAGCAGAUUGGAAGGGUUUAACUGUUCGUUAAUUUAAAGGGCUACGUGAGUUGGGUUAAAUCCGUCGUGAGACAGGAUGGUUCCUAUCUACUGGGAAAAAAUUAAACAAAGGUUAAUCUCUUUUUUGUACGAAAGGAUUUAAAGGGCCUAAUCAAUAGUUUAACUGUUGUCUUAAAAAUGCAAAUCAAAAAGAAUUAAAAGGCAUAGCAGUGAAGCCACAUUAGGGAACUUAAGUACUGAAAGCAUAUUAAGUACGAAAUUUCUAACUGGAGUUUAAACUAAGAAAGUAGAACACUUUCCAAAUUAGUGAAUCAUUGUCUAGAUAGAUUCAAUCCAGUAAGGAUCAGUAUAAACUGCUAAUUAAAUCUCAAAGAGAUAAGAUUUACUAAGAAAAUUCAGAUUAAACAGUUUUUAUC
rnacentral:rRNA from 1 species